CAAGAACUUGACUCUGUCAGGCAAGGUUCUAAAAAAAUAUCGGCUCAUUCACCAGACAAGGCAAUUUGGCAUAACAUAUAAAACACUGCGGAAGAGGAGGCUUACUGACAAAAAACCUGCAUACAUUCAAACAAUUACUCAGAAGGUUCAGGAUUUCUACCAUAAUGCAGCACGAAUGACAACUGACAAACAGGACACAAUUACACGAAAUAAAUUAAAGCAUCAGAGAAUGAUUCUGACUGAUACAGUUUUGAACCUCCACAAGGAGUUCACCCAGAAAGAACCAAGAGUGAAGCUCAGUUAUUCAUCCUUCUGUGCCUUACGUCCAUUCUAUGUCACAGCACCAAGACCGUCCGAUCGUAAGACAUGCCAAUGUCAGUACCAUGACAAUGCUAAGCUGAUGCUUGAAGUCCUAAGAGAAAAUGGUGUCGUCAAGUCUAGCAAACUGGAGGAUAGUUUUGAACUUGUCUGCUGUUUACAGACAAGCGAGGCAUGUCUUCUGCGCUCCUGCACCCGGUGUCUCCACAAACAUACACUUCCCACACCACAGCAAGACCAGACCUAUGUUGAAUGGCAGCAAUGGGAACGAGUUCAGGAUCAAACAGCAGAUGGGCUCCACUUCAACACAAGACGUGUGAUGCACAGUGGCACACUGGGAGAGCUUAUCCAACAAUAUGAAGACAAACUGAAGACAGAAACAACAACACAUGUGUGCUCAGUUCAGAACCAGACCAGAGAGUACAGGAGCAUGAUUGAGAAGUGUAAUGAUAGCACAGUAAUUGUGCAUGUGGACUUUUCUGAGGCGUGGAAAUGCAAGUAUAGUUCUGAGGUACAGUCAUGCCAUUUUGGUCAGAACCUUCCACAGCUCAACCUGCACACUGGCAUGUACUAUACAAAAGAACAGAAGACAGGCUUUUGCACAGUAUCAGAAUCCAAGCGACAAGAUGCGUCUGCAAUUUGGACUCACAUGGAACCAGUCCUGACAGAUAUUCAUUUAAAGUUUCCAAAAGUUGAUACUAUUCACUUUUGGUCAGACGGCCCCAGCAAGCAAUACAAGAACAAGAAGAACUUUUCUCUCCUCUGCAGUGUCCCUCAAACUCUAGGUUUCAAGAGAACAACCUGGAACUUCUUCCCCACCUCACAUGGGAAGGGAGCCCCAGACGGCAUUGGAGGAACUGUGAAAAGGACUGCAGACAGCCUUAUACUGCGGGGGAAUGACAUUGUGAACGGGAACAUCUUCCAUGAGAUGGUUGGCAGAAGCCUCUGCAGCACUAAGCUCUAUAUCAUUACUGAAGCUGACAUGCAGCCAUAUGAUGCACUCCUUUCUCAACCACUAAAACCUGUACCUGCAACAAGGAAACUCCACCAGGUUACACCGACACACAGAAACGACUCUGAGAGCCACUGUAGAUCACUGUCCUGUUUCUGCAGUGAGCCACAGAUGUGCGAGUGUUUCAGCCCAACAAUAUUCCAGUUGACUGCCAACGCACUCAGUGUACAGGUCGAGGAUGAUAGUCCUAUACCAAUGCAAAAGAGGAAAGGUCCAUUGGCAAUGUUGAUGGAGGAAAUGGAACAGGAGGAAAGUGAGCAAGAGCCAAUGGAGCAAGAACCACUGACCAACAGUGGUCCUGACGGGACAGUGACAGAUCUAUCUGCUGAUGUAGUUCAUUGCGGAGAUUGGCUUGCAGUCAUUUAUGACCAGAACUGGUGGUUAGCAAAAGCUGUCACUGUGGACGCUCAUCAUCAAGAUGUGGAAGUGGAGUUUUUCCACCCUCAUGGGCCUAACACACGAUUCUAUCCAAAAGGAGGUGGAAAGGAUAUGUGCUUCAUACCAUUUGACCAUAUUCUGGUCAAGCUUGUGGAACCGUCAUCACCAGGUCGUGCAAGCAGGACAAGGGAGAUUUACAACCUGUCUGCUGAAGUCAUGGACUUCAUAGAGGAGAAACAUAUACACCAUAUACUUCCUGAUAAAGCUAAAUGAGUGGUGGAGUGAUGUAAAUCAGUCAGGGAAUACUCGCAUGAGUUCACAUUUGAAUUAUUAAUAUUAUUGUGCGAGAUGUGUUUUGUGGUAUUUACACAGAAUGCUUUCUGUAUUUUGCAACAUUUCAGUUUAUGGAAAAGAGACUGUAAGACAUAGUUAUUCAUCUAUUAUUUCAGUU
ensembl:lncRNA